AUGGAUAUCUCACUACCCCUCCUCCUAGUCGGCAUCCUCAUCCCCGUCGUCUCGUACCUGCUGGUGACGAAGCGCAGCGCCGAGGAAGGGCGGCUGAAGCUGCCGCCGGGCCCGAAGCGGGUGCCGGUGCUCGGCAACCUGCACCAACUGGGCCCUCUACCGCAUCGCAACCUGCGCGACCUGGCCGGGCGGCACGGCUCCGUCAUGCUACUCCGCCUCGGCGCGGUGACGACGGUGGUGGUCUCGUCCGCGGCUGCGGCGCGCGACGUCAUGAAGGCCCACGACGCCGACUGUUGCAGCCGCCCCGCGUCGCCGGGCCCCGCGCGCCUCUCCUACGGGCGCAAGAGCGUCUCCUUCUCGCCAUACGGCGCCUACUGGCGCGACAUGCGCGGACUCUUCGCCGCGGAGCUCCUCGGCGCGCGCGGCGUCGGAGCCGCCUGGGCCGCACGGCGGGAGCAGGUGGACAGGCUCAUGGCCGCCCUGGGCGACGCUGCGGGGCCGGUGUCGUUGGACGACCACGUGUUCCGUGUCGCCGACGGCGUCAUCGCCACGGUGGCGUACGGGAGCGUGUACGGCGCGGAGGCGUUCGCGGGCAAGUACGAGCGGUUCCAGCACGUGCUACAGGAGGCCGUGGACAUGUCGGCCAGCUUCUCCGCCGAGGACUUCUUCCCCAACGCCGCCGGCCGCCUCCUCGACCGGCUCGCCGGCAUCGUCGCGCGCCGGGAGAGGAUCUUCAGAGACCUCGACGGCUUCUUCGAGGAAGUGCUGGAGCAGCAUCUAGACCCCGCGCGCCGCAGGCCGGAGAGCGGCGGCGGCGACCUGGUGGAUGCCCUCGUCAGAAUCUGCGAGGAGCACGGCUUCACGAGGGACCACGUCAAGGCUGUCCUCCUGGACGCGUUCAUCGGCGGCGUCGACACGAGCUCUGUGACGAUCCUGUGGGCGAUGUCGGAGCUGAUCCGGAAGCCGCAGGUGCUGAAGAAAGCGCAGGAGGAGAUCAGGGCCGCGGUCACCGGCAACGAGCAGCGGGUGCAGCCGGACGACCUGCCGAAGCUGACCUACCUAAAGAUGGUCGUCAAAGAGACCCUGCGGCUGCACCCGCCGAUUACGCUGCUUCUGCCGCGGGAGACGCUGCGGCGGGUGGAGAUCGGCGGCUACGACGUGCCGGCGGGGUCGCGGGUGCUCGUGAACGCGUGGGCCAUCGGGAGGGACCCCGCGAGCUGGGGGCAGGACGCGGAGGAGUUCGAGCCGGAGAGGUUCGAGGCCGGCGGGAGGCACGGCAAGGUGGACUUCCGCGGCGCUCACUUGGAGCUGAUGCCGUUCGGCGCCGGCCGGCGAAUGUGCCCCGCACUGGCCAUGGGGGUGGCGAACGUGGAGUUCACGUUGGCCAACAUGCUGUACGGCUUCGAGUGGGAGCUGCCGGAGGGGACGUUGGCCGAGAAGGUGAGCAUGGAGGAGGCCGGUAGGCUGACCUUCCACCGCAAGACGCCGCUGGUGCUCGUGCCUACCCCAUACGUAGUGUGA
rnacentral:rRNA from 1 species